UUGAAGCUAUACAACGUGUCCUAUUCGACGCCGUGCCUGGAGCAGAAGAAUCUAGAGUGUAGAUAACAUGUGUCUAGAUAGUGAAUGUCAUUAGCGCUGCAACUAUGUGAUGAAUUGUUUUCCCCCUCCCUUUGAGAAGUUGCAGCGCCCGGUGUAAGAGGGUUUCUAAAAGCAAUAAAAAGCGAGGAGGGGACAAAUGUGUUUCAGAGCGGUUGGAGAUUUGUAACUGUAAGCACGUCUCUGUCUGCUCUCCUCGCGAGAACAAAGAAUUUAACUCUCUCGUCUUUCCUGUGUUUGUUUAAAUUGUCUCUAAUAGGUAUUUAGACCUGACACUCCUCUACAACCGCUGAUCCUGAGCCUACCUGUCCGCCCUCCGACGUACUCCCUUUGCCUCCUGGAUCCCCGCUGUCAGACAAGACGACCACCUGGAACCUCUGAGAACUAAAACCCCGGACGCUGCAGUUACCCUCUCACUUCUCUAACCUGCCGAUCACAAUGAACUGUUUGUUCCCUGAACCAGCCUCUCUCCCUGGACCCGACCCGAGCCAACUAUUCCUGCCAGCAGUGUUUUCAAUAAAUUUAUCUUUAUUU